rnacentral:ribozyme from 14 species
ACAUGGAAUGAAUGUAUGAUGAAUGAAAAAGAAAAGAGAGGAAAGUGAGAUACUGAUAUAUUGAGUUUAAAUCGUUCUUUUUUUCCUUUUGUGUUGACGUGUCUUUUCUCCU